GCUGGGGACCCCUUGGAAUAAGCCAUCUGAAACAGGUCAGGAUCGGAAGAUAGCAGCCUUAAGGAUUUAGCUUAUGCCAAGAGAUCAUCUCCAGCUUC
rnacentral:SRP_RNA from 1 species